CCUACGGGAGGCAGCAGUGGGGAAUAUUGCGCAAUGGGCGAAAGCCUGACGCAGCAACGCCGCGUGGGGGAUGAAGGCCUUCGGGUUGUAAACCUCUUUCAGCAGGGAAGAAGCGAAAGUGACGGUACCUGCAGAAGAAGCACCGGCUAACUACGUGCCAGCAGCCGCGGUAAUACGUAGGGUGCAAGCGUUGUCCGGAUUUAUUGGGCGUAAAGAGCUCGUAGGCGGUUAGUCACGUCGGAUGUGAAAUCCCGGAGCUUAACUCCGGGCCUGCAUUCGAUACGGGCUGACUCGAGUGUUGUAGGGGAGACUGGAACUCCUGGUGUAGCGGUGAAAUGCGCAGAUAUCAGGAAGAACACCGGUGGCGAAGGCGGGUCUCUGGGCAACUACUGACGCUGAGGAGCGAAAGCGUGAGGAGCAAACAGGAUUAGAUACCCUGGUAGUCCACGCCGUAAACGGUGGGUGCUAGGUGUGGGGAACAUUCCACGUUCUCUGCGCCGCNGCUACGACAUAGCGCCCGCCGUCGGGAGGUACGGCCGCGAGACGAAACGUACGAAGGUAAGUAGUUACGGCGUGAGACGUGCCGACGGCGACGACGAGGGAGGAGG
rnacentral:rRNA from 1 species